GGGUCAGUAGGUUGGUCGUGCCACCGGUACGUACUGGUCUCGCUGAUUCCUCCUUCCUGAAGAACCGUAAUGCCAUUAAUUUGGUGUUGCGGGGAAACAGGACUGUUACUUUGAAGAAAUUAGAGUGUUUAAAGCAAGCUAACGCUUGAAUACAUUAGCAUGGAAUAAUGAAAUAGGACGAUCGAUCCUAUUUUGUUGGUUUCUAGGAUUGACGUA
rnacentral:rRNA from 1 species